UACGGAGGGGGCAAGCGUUGUUCGGAAUCAUUGGGCGUAAAGGGCGCGUAGGCGGCCUGUCAAGUCAAGUGUGAAAUCCCUCGGCUCAACCGAGGAACCGCACUCGAUACUGUCGGGCUAGAGUCCGGGAGGGGAUGGUGGAAUUCCCAGUGUAGCGGUGAAAUGCGUAGAUAUUGGGAAGAACACCGGUGGCGAAGGCGGCCAUCUGGACCGGAACUGACGCUGAGGCGCGAAAGCUAGGGGAGCAAACGGG
rnacentral:rRNA from 1 species